AAACACUCACUUCCUGGGACUCAAAGAAAGUGCAGCUGAAUUCGAUGGCUUUUAGCUGGGGACUGGCUAGAUCAGUGGAAAUCACAACCAAGUUCUCCCACUGCCUUUCUAUCCAACAGCACUGUGGAUCACCCGCAGACAAGGAUGGAAUCACCAAAAAGUAUAAUCAUUAGGUCACUAGAUGUGCACGUUGGCAAUUUUCGAAAAUAUUGCCAGAGAGAUUGAAAUAAUUCACCACUGCCCCUCCUCCAGCUUCUCCUGGGCAUGCCACAUACACUGUGGGAAGGGGAAAGGCUGACCUAGAACACCUUCAAGUGGAUGCUACAGAACCCACCAGGGCAGAGCCUCAGCUCUCAGCCUCCCGGAAUGAACCAUGAACCCAAAGCAAAGAGCAGAACUCCUUUGACACCUCCAGCUUCACAGACAAAGAUGAAUCUCCUAAGGCAUUUCUGAAACAUGCAGUUCUGAAGUCUGGCCAGCCACACCAAAGAGCUUUUCGCAAGAAGGCACAGGCCAGGUAGAGGCAGCUGUGCAGUGGGAGGACUGUGAUGUUUUGGACUAGAAAAUAAGACGCAAAUGAGGCCAAAAAAACACAGGCACUGCAUAAAGGUGUCUUCUCCCCACUUUAUAAGCCUUAUGUGUGAUAAUAUUCAAUGCCACAGCAAGGCAAGCAAAUAGGUCCUUGGAGGGAGGGAUAGCUGGAUUUUAAUCCUGGCUCUACACUAAGGUCUUGGACUACUUACUGCAGGUCUCUGAGCUUCAUAGUUUUAUGUAUAAAAUAGGAUGAAGACCAUCCCCAAAUCCACUUCGAUGGUGAGA
rnacentral:lncRNA from 1 species